CAGUAGCCGCGGGAAUACGUAGGGUGCAAGCGUUAAUCGGAAUUACUGGGCGUAAAGCGUGCGCAGGCGGUUCUAUAAGACAGAUGUGAAAUCCCCGGGCUCAACCUGGGAACUGCAUUUGUGACUGUAGAGCUGGAGUGCGGCAGAGGGGGAUGGAAUUCCGCGUGUAGCAGUGAAAUGCGUAGAUAUGCGGAGGAACACCGAUGGCGAAGGCAAUCCCCUGGGCCUGCACUGACGCUCAUGCACGAAAGCGUGGGGAGCAAACAGGAUUAGAUACCCCAGUAGUCCCUGUCUCUUAUAC
rnacentral:rRNA from 1 species